CGUGAGUGAAGAAGGCCUUUGGGUUGUAAAGCUCUUUUGUAGGGGAAGAUAAUGACUGUACCCUAAGAAUAAGGUCCGGCUAACUUCGUGCCAGCAGCCGCGGUAAUACGAAGGGACCUAGCGUAGUUCGGAAUUACUGGGCGUAAAGCGCGCGUAGGCCGUUGAGUUAGUUAAUUGUGAAAUCCCAAAGCUUAACUUUGGAACUGCAAUUAAAACUGCUCGACUAGAGUUUGAUAGAGGAAAGCGGAAUACAUAGUGUAGAGGUGAAAUUCGUAGAUAUUAUGUAGAACACCAGUUGCGAAGGCGGCUUUCUGGGUCAACACUGACGCUGAGGCGCGAAAGUAUGGGUAGCAAAGAGGAUUAGAUACCCUCGUAGUCCAUACCAUAAACGAUGAUUGCUAGAUGUUGAAAAUUUAUUUUCAGUAUCGCAGCUAACGCAUUAAGCAAUCCGACUGGGGAGUACGACCGCAAGGUUAAAACUCAAAUGAAUUGACGGGGACCCGCACAAGCGGUGGAGCAUGUGGUUUAAUUCGAAGAUACGCGCAGAACCUUACCAGCCCUUGACAUGUCUGUCGCGAGUCUAGGAAACUAGACUUUCC
rnacentral:rRNA from 1 species